GGAAUAGAUAAAGGUAGCAAUCACAUAUGCUUGAGUCAGAAAGUCUAUUAUAUGCAUUUGAGAUGUUUCUGAGCGUUGAUGCAUCAAAUUUUCUAACAUUAAAUGAAUUUCAAAUAAAACUGUAAAUUCAUAUAAGGAAAAUAAGGAGCAGGCAACAAUGUGAAGGUGGUGCAAAUAGAGAUCAGAGGUAGUUAGCUUAUUUGAAAUUCAUAGGCAUUUAAUUUACCUCUAAUGCAGUGUAAAAUGGCUCCACAACGCAAGCUGCAAAAUAACCAAGAUUAAAGAUCAAAUGAUAAUACAACAGAAAAGGGGCAACCAAAGAUCCAAAACUGCAGUAGUUCAUAUGCAGUCAAAUGUUAAAAUGGAGAACAUAUAGUAUAAAGGUCAAGAAUUUCAUUUGGUCCCUGUCCUAUAUAACUCAAAACUUUUAUAAACAUAGACCUCUAUUGCAAAAUACUAUAUCACAAUAUAACAAUCUAACAACAUCAAGAGCAACAAAAUCUAUUUGAACUCCGUGAUAUCCUAUAUUAAUAACUACUUGCAUAAGAAACUAUAGCAGUUUACAAAUCUGAUUUUGAACUUAUACAACCACAAGAUUUCUAUCAACAUGUAUAUAUCUCAUAAUUACAAUAAACCAUUACUACAUAUAAAUUUUUUCGAUCACAAACCAUUUUUUUCCAAUCUAACACAUUAUAGAUCAUUGGUUUUCUCCUCCCAACAGAUCAAAAUGCAUCAGAUAUGAAUUAAAUGGCACUGAAGCAGUCAUCUACAAACUAAAAAUUCCAUUCAACGCAACAGCAAACGGAGAACAGAGUAAUCAAAACCGAAAUUCGUAAAGAAUGAAGUAAAGCAAUCGCUUACUCCCUCAUAGAGUUAGUUGAAGUGAGAAUAGGAGUGGGCGACUGCAACACAGCGACUGGCGAGCGACGGUUCUGGACCAGGCACCUAGAACCAAAAAUCUGGAAAAAAGAAGAAAAAUAAGAAGAAGAUAUUGCCGCGUUAAUGCAAAAGAAAAGAAAGACAACAAAAGAAGAAGAAGGUUACCUUGCGUCUGCUGCAUUGUUAAUAAUUCAAACUAAUGAAUUUAUAGAUGAAAAUUUAGGGUUUAAGUUUCCUUCGAUAAAAUUCUUUCCAAAAAAAAUCUUUCUAAAGUUUAUAACCAUUCUAUAUUUACAUAAUUUGCAGCAACCGAAAAUUAAUUAACAUAAAAAUCUAGGGUUUAAGUUUCCAUUGUUAAAAAUCUUUCCAAAAUUUGUUCUUUCUAAAAUAAUAAUCAUUCUAUAAUUAAAAUAGUCAAACAUUAAUACUUACCAUAUGGGGGAAGGGAGGUGGCAGAUCGAUUUCUGGUUUUCUGGUGGUGGGAGGGGCAGAUCGGCGGCCAUGGCUGCCGUGGUUGCCGGAAAUCGCAAAGAGGCGGUGAGGAUUUGGGGAUCUAGGGGCGCGGCGAUUCGCGGUGGGUGCCGGCGAGGCGAAUCCAUGGUUGAGAGCAGAGCAAUAGUCAUUAGUGUUGAGAGCAUCGGAGUCGGAUUGGCCGUCGGAGUCGGAGUGCCGGCGCGGCGAAAAUGGGGAGGCGGCAAGCGUGAGUACAAAAGAAAGAAGCGGCGAUGGAGAGGUGGCAUAUCACUAAUUUAAUUGUUGAAACAGAGGAGAUGGCAGAUCGGAGGGCUUGUCACGACGGUGGCCGGCGCGGCGAAGGCGGCUGUGGUGGUGAACAGUGGUGGCGGCGAAUUGCUGUUGAGGGAAGGUAGAUGGAACUUUUGUUAGCCAAGGGACAAAAGCCAAGGGAG
rnacentral:lncRNA from 1 species